GAUCAUGGCUCAGGAUGAACGCUAGCUACAGGCUUAACACAUGCAAGUCGAGGGGCGGCAUGUUGGUUGCUUGCAACCAAUGAUGGCGACCGGCGCACGGGUGAGUAACGCGUAUCCAACCUACCCUUGUCCAUCGGAUAACCCGUCGAAAGGCGGCCUAACACGAUAUGCGGUUCACAGCAGGCAUCUAACGUGAACGAAAUGUAAAGGAGAAGGAUGGGGAUGCGUCUGAUUAG
rnacentral:rRNA from 1 species